UACGUAGGGUGCGAGCGUUGUCCGGAAUUAUUGGGCGUAAAGGGCUCGUAGGCGGUUUGUCGCGUCGGGUGUGAAAACCCAGGGCUUAACCCUGGGCUGGCUUUCGAUACGGGCAGACUAGAGGUAUGCAGGGGAGAACGGAAUUCCUGGUGUAGCGGUGAAAUGCGCAGAUAUCAGGAGGAACACCGGUGGCGAAGGCGGUUCUCUGGGCAUUACCUGACGCUGAGGAGCGAAAGUGUGGGGAGCGAACAGG
rnacentral:rRNA from 1 species